rnacentral:piRNA from 1 species
UACAGAGUGAGACCCUGUCUCAAAAAACCAAAGGAUGA